GAUGAAGAACGUAGCGAAAUGCGAUAAGUAAUGUGAAUUGCAGAAUUCAGUGAAUCAUCGAAUCUUUGAACGCACAUUGCGCCCGCUAGUAUUCUGGCGGGCAUGCCUGUUCGAGCGUCAUUUCAACCCUCAGGCCCCCAGUGCCUGGCGUUGGGGAUCGGCCGCUGGCGUCCUUCGGGGCGCCUGGCCGGCCCCGAAAUCUAGUGGCGGUCUCGCUGUAGUCCUCCUCUGCGUAGUAGCACAACCUCGCAACGGGAACGUGACGGCGGCCACUGCCGUAAAACAACCCAAUUUUAUUAGAGUUGACCUCGAAUCAGGUAGGAAUACCCGCUGAACUUAAGCAUAUCAAUAAGCGGAGGA
rnacentral:misc_RNA from 1 species